CCAACAUCUCCAAAAAUAAGUAAAUUUAUCGCCCGUUACAAGAGGCAGAGAAUGGAGACACUACAAUACCUCUAAAAAAUUAUAAACAGAGAGUUUUGGCCGCAACAGGAAUUUCUGAUAAAGUUUAUCGGAGCAUCGUGAAGGAGACUGAAAAAGUUGAAACCACUCCAGGGGGUACAUAUUCGUCACCCCAAAAAGGCAAAAUUCCUGCCAAAAAAUUGGAUCUGCCAGAGGCAGAAAUUGCAGAAAUCAGAAACAUUAUUUACAAUUUUUAUAUCACUGAGAAAAGAAGACCUUCUUUAAAGUGUAUAUUAAACAAAAUUGAACAGCAGCAAUUAUCUUUUAAUGGUAAUGUAAGUACCUUGUGGAGACUCCUGAAGAAAAUUGGUUUCAAAUGGCGUAAGACUUCUGAUAACAGAAAAGUUAUUGUGGAGACUUAUGAAAUUCGUAAAAAGCGAAUAGAAUAUUUGAGAGCAGUUGAAAAGUUUCGGGAAGACAACCCAACAAUUGUAUAUUGUGAUGAAACAUAUAUCCACAAUACGCACACAACAGCAAAGGGAUGGUAUGAUGAAAG